rnacentral:misc_RNA from 1 species
CAUCGCGCCACUGCCCUCCCUCCCUGCUCUGGGACGGAGGACACGGUGCGAAGACUGGCCUCCCGUGCGCCCCGGCGUGUGCGGAUGGCCCAAAUGAGAUCCCCCGGUGAUGCACGCCACGACGAUUGGUGGUUGAUUGCUCGACUCACGUGCCGUCGUGCCCCGCAGCAUCGCCGGCUAGGGCAUCCGGAAGGACCCAACGGCGUGCGCCGCCAGCAUCC